rnacentral:rRNA from 1 species
UACGUAUGGUGCAAGCGUUAUCCGGAUUUACUGGGUGUAAAGGGAGCGUAGGUUGUCUGGCAAGCCAGAGGUGAAAACCCGGGGCUCAACCCCGAGGAUUGCCUUUGGAACUGUUGGACUAGAGUGCAGGAGGGGUAAGUGGAAUUCCCAGUGUAGCGGUGGAAUGCGUAGAUAUUGGGAGGAACACCGGCGGCGAAGGCGGCUUACUGGACUGUAACUGACACUGUGGCUCGAAAGCGUGGGGAGCAAA